GGCUAAAGUUUUUAGCCUUUAUUGGUGCAGGAUAAUAGAAAGAAGAGCGCGAGCUCAAAGGAAGACCAGGGGAAGACACACAGCAAGUGAGCCUCUGCAUUAGCCUUACAACCUGUGGCUCAACCCAGUGAGUUGAACCAAGACCUCCACAAUGUCAUUUCCACCUGAACUUCUUCAACUACUUUCAGGAUUUUCACUUCCACUGACCACAUCCAAAGUGACCCAACAACAUAUAUCAGUGCUUGCACUUAAAUGUCAUCUAUUUCAGAAUUUAUAUUUUAACCACUGCUUCAUUCAAUUCAAUUCAAUUUUAUUUAUACAGCGCCAAAUCACAACAACAGUUGCCUCAAGGCACUUUAUACUGUAAGGUAUACCCCACAAUAAUACAUGCAGAGAAAAACCCAACAAUCACAUAACCCCCUAUAAGCAAGCACAUUGGCGACAGUGGGGAGGAAAAACUCCCUUUUAACAAUAAGAAUUCUCCGACAGAACCAGGCUCAGGGAGGGGCGGCCAUCUGCGGUGACCGGUUCAUAACUUCUAAAGUUUCCUAAAUGCAGUCUGUUCUAGUUGUUGUUACUCCACCGUGAUGGAGGUGUUGUGUUCUAGGCUUGCCUGUCCAUAAAUAUCUUGAGAGAAGAUCUUCACAAAAGUUAAGGGGAAAUGUACCAGUUUGCCACCCUUUCUUUCACCAACACCCUGUAAAUGUUUGGACAUGUAGUAAAUAACUUGCUGUAGUUUAAAAAAUAAAAAAUAAAAAAUUGUAAUAUGUGCAGAAGACUAUUUGGCAUUAUCCCUCAGAAAUAAGCAAGGCCUUCCCUGAAAAAACAGCAUUUCAUUAUUAUUGAGGCCUUCACAGAUUAGCAAGUUACCAGAACCAUAUGCACUAAUAACCCCCAUAAAACCAUAGGCUUUGAACUGUGCCCUGGCAACGAGCUGGGUGGUCUUUCUCCCCUCUAGCCCGAAGGACAUGCCCAUUAUUUCCAAAGAUGAACUCAGAGUGUAGCUGGUUAGCCCAGAGGACAGUUUUCCUACAUCUCUUCAGUCCAUUCAUCCCUGGCUUUGGGCCUUUUGCAGUGUGUACAAGAAAUUGCCUCUGUAAUUUGAUUCUUUUUUAGACUACGUGCUGUAGAUGAUGGUGUCCACAGAUUGUUUGCUACAUUAUUAUUAAAAAAGGUGAGAUGUUCC
ensembl:lncRNA